rnacentral:rRNA from 1 species
CCGCGUAUUAAUCAGUAACAGAUGGUUUGAUUAUGGCGCUCAGAUUGAACGCUGGCGGGAUGCUUCACAAUACGCAAGUCGAACGGCAGCAUCGAUUCGGUCUGGUGGCGAGUGGCAGAACGGGUGAGUAAUGUGAUUGAACGUGCCUAGUAGCGGGGGAUAACUAAUGCGAAGGUAGCUAAUACCGUAUACGCCCUUCGGGGGAAAGCGGGGACCUUUCGGGCUCGCACUAUUAGGAGCGGCCGAUAUCGGAUUAGCUGGUUGGUGGGGCAACGGCUCACCAAGGCGACGAUCCGUAGCCGGUUUGAGAGGACGACCAGCCACACUGGGACUGAGACACGGCCCAGACUACGGAGGCAGCAGUGGGGAAUUUGGACAAUGGGGAAACCCUGAUCCAGCCAUCCGCGUGCGAUGAAGGCCUUCGUUGUAAAGCACUUGGCAGGAGUUAAACGGUACGAUAAUACCCGUGCAACUGACGGUACCUGCAGAAUAAGCACCGGCCAACUAUGUGCUGCGCUUGUAAUACGUAGGUGCAAGCGUUAAUCGGGAAUUACUGGCGUGUGCCGCGCAGGCGGUUCGGAAAGAAAGAUGUGAACCCAGAGCUUAACUUUUGAACUGCAUUUUUAAUCACUUGAGCCAGAGUGUGUCAGAGGGGAGGAAUUCGCGUGUAGCAGAAAUGCGUAGAUAUGCGGAGGAACACCGAUGGCGAAGGCAGCCUCCUGGGAUAACACUGACGCUCAUGCACGAAAGCGUAGAUGUCCAGGAUUAGAUACCUCAGUAGUCCACGUCAACGAUGUCAACUAGCUGGGUUACGCUCUUCGGGCUCUGGUAGCGCAAAGCAUCGCGUGAAGUUGACCGGCCUGGGAGUACGGCCGCAAGAUUAAAACCGAGAAUUGACGGGACCCGCACAAGCGGGUGGAUGAUGUGGAUUAAUUCGAUGCAACGCGAAAACCUUACCUACCCUUUUGACAUGUCUGGAAUCCCGAAGAGAUUUGGGGAGUGCUCGCAAGAGAACCGGAACACAGGUGCUGCAUGGCUGUCGUCACCGUAUCGUGAGAUGUUGGGUUAAGUCCUGCAACGAGCGCAACCCUUGUCAUUAUUGCUACCAGAAAGGGCACUUAAUGAGACUGCCGGUGACAAACCGGAGGAAGGUGGGGAUGACGUCAAGUCCUCAUGGCCCUUAUGGUAGGGCUUCACACGUCAUACAAUGGUCGGGACAGAGGGUCGCCAACUCCGCGAGGGGGAGCCAAUCCCAGAAACCCGGAUCAGAAGUCCGGAUCGCAGUCUAACCUGAUCAGAAGGAAUCGCUGCAUCGUGGAUCAGCAUGUUUCGCGGCAAUACGUUCCCGGGUCUUGCACAUUACCGCCCGUCACACCAUGGGAGGCUUACCAGAAGCGCAGUUAGCCUAACCGGGUAAGGGAGGUAUGACGACAUGGUAGAUUCCAUGACUGGGGUGGAAGUCGUAUCAAGGUAA